rnacentral:lncRNA from 1 species
GCUGUCCUCCCUAUAAAGACCCCUCCAUCAACGCUCCCUUCUUCAAGCUCUUCCCCCUUUGUCCUCCUCCCUCCCUUGCUCUGCUUCUCUACAGUAUCAUCAGCCUCCAAACAUACUUCGAAUUUUGAUGGGGCCAUGGUUCUCGGUACCUCCUUCAAAUCCUCCGUUAGCGGAUAUCUGGCUUUGGAUCGCUCACAUCAGCCUUGUACGUGAAGGAAUUUCCUUGAAUCCAGAGUAACAUGGGUCCAUUAAGGUAUGAAUCUCUAAUUAUAUCUUUCAUUCGCCUUUAUUUGAUUGAAUUCUGAAGCUUUUUACGCAAACCAACAGAUGAUAGGGUCCAUCAUCAAAUUUAUGAUCCGGUGCGAGUGGGCAAAUGCAUUUGCCAGAGCUGGGUGGUACGACACUACCACUGGUGGCACUUCUGGAUGCCAAGGAAUUUGAAGAGGCGAACUGCAUCAUCAUUUGAGAGUGCUCAGAAUAGGAAAUGAGGACUGCAAGUUAUCGACACGUGAUCAGGAGAUGUAGUGUUAAGUUUUUCGAACCUACUUGGGUUGGACCUAAUCUCUGAUAGCAAUACAAGAACGGCAUGUCCUGUUUUAUUUAUUAAAUUCUUACAAAGAAAG